CAACUUUCAACAACGGAUCUCUUGGCUCUCGCAUCGAUGAAGAACGCAGCGAAAUGCGAUACGUAAUGUGAAUUGCAGAAUUCAGUGAAUCAUCGAAUCUUUGAACGCACCUUGCGCCCCUUGGCAUUCCGAGGGGCACACCCGUUUGAGU
rnacentral:rRNA from 1 species